AAAAAAAAAAAAAAAAGGAAAACCAACUCCAUAGUCCAUACAUCAUCUUUUGAGUGAGCGCAUAAAAAUAAAUUGUUUAAGAAAGUUUUACAUAAAUUGAAGUUGACUAUUAUCUUGAAAUAUUUGAAUUCUGUAUUAAUUUAUUAUAUCAAGUUUCAUGUCAGUAUUGUCUGCCCACAGUUUGCUACAGAGUGUGAAUGUUAACUUCAAUAGUUUAAUCUCAGCAAUAUUGAUUAAAGUUUACAUCAUUACGUGAAUAAGAUGCUUCGUAGUCUGACAGAGAUAUAUGAGAACCUUUUAAAAAUGGAAAAAGUCAAUUUGAAUGCCACCAAAAAGCAAGUUCUAUUUUUUUGCAGGAAAAAAAAGAUUGUAAAAAGAAAAUGAUGAUUAGGAAAUUUUUGUAGGGGGACAAUGCUUGUGAUAAUGUUUUGUUACUCAAGUUCAAAGAUAAGAAGCAAGUGUCCCAUUAUAUUAUAUGCAUUUAUUUGAUUAGCAGAAUCUCUUGAAUUUAAUCAUAAAAAACAAAUUUUAAUUUGAAAGAACUAUAUAUUCAUAAUUUUAAAUCCUGAUAAAAACAAGAAAUGGAGAAUAAUCAAUUAAACA
rnacentral:misc_RNA from 1 species